CCAUCUCUCUUCCCUGAAAACGUCCAAAACCCUACACACUCAAACCAUCUUAUCUGGUUCAAACGUCAGAAAGCUUCCACCUUUCCAGUUUCCUCAAACAGUUUCUCAUUCAAAAUUCAAAUUCAUUAUUUCCCCAAACCAGAUCUGCAAAACAAUUUCCAUAACCCAGAGAGAGACGAGACCACCGUUUAUUUGUUGUAUUCACACAUUCAUUCUUCACAUUUUUAUCUUCUCUUUGAAACCCUGAUGGAAACGCCCUUGAUUCAGAUGAUCGAUCUUCAUCUAUAAGUGUUUUGCUGUGUAAUCUAGUUUGAGAUCAAGAGCUUGGUGUUGAGAGUGUAGUGAAGUAACAGGAAGGAAUCAUGUUUGGUUCUAGCAAUCGCAACUGCUAGGAGAUGAACUUUCUAUGAAUGCCAAUGAUGUGCGGAAGCUGGAAACCAAACUGGAAAAGAGUCUAAAGGUGUAAAAUAUUUACCAGUUAGCUGUGAAUAACUGAUUUUUUUCAUCCCUUCAUUAGCAGGAUCUAACAUUGGUUCGGGACCUGUGUGGACCGAUUAUAUCAGCUUUUUAAAAUCUUUACUGGAGGAUAGAGAUCAUGUUUAGGAGGGAGAGAAAGAAGCAGGGAAAACAAUUGUUGAGGCGUCCUUCGCCCUUCUUGCAUUUUGGCCUACAUAAUGCUUUGUAAACUUUUUUUUCUUCGUUAACAAUACCAGUUGACCUUUUGUCUCAUGGGAACAUAUGUUCUUUGUCUUUUGACAAUAAAGGCAUACGUAAUGUCACUGUGGAAUGUCUUCCAAAGCGCAACUUGUCUGUCUUUGUUCCCGUCUUGGAGAGAUUUGUGGUAUGUCAUCGUUACCCUUUUAAUUAACCCUUAUGUCAAAUCUAAGCUCAAAAGCUCUUUUUUUAUUGACAAAAAUACCCUUUUGCUAUGAAUUUCACAUGUCAUUGAACAUGAUCUCUGAGGUGACUUAUCCCAUGGUGCUUGAGGUAAUUGAACCAUGUAUGAUGCAAUGAAUCACGUAUGAAGGAAUGUUGAAAUAAGAUGUCAACCAAAUGUUUGAAGUAAAAUGAUUUAUGACAAUCCCUCUUUAUUUUUGGUGAAAUUUGACUUUCUGAAUCACUUCCUUACUCUGUUAACAUUUAUACUUUUUACACACUUCCUUCUGAAUCAUACACUUUUUUUUAAU
rnacentral:lncRNA from 1 species